GAUGAAGAACGUAGCGAAAUGCGAUAAGUAGUGUGAAUUGCAGAAUUCAGUGAAUCAUCGAAUCUUUGAACGCACAUUGCGCCCCUUGGUAUUCCAUGGGGCAUGCCUGUUCGAGCGUCAUCUACACCCUCAAGCUCUGCUUGGUGAUGGGCGUCUGUCCCGCCUUUGCGCGUGGACUCGCCCCAAAUUCAUUGGCAGCGGUCCUUGCCUCCUCUCGCGCAGCACAUUUGCGCUUCUCGAGGUGCGCGGGCCGCGUCCACGAAGCAACUAUUACCGUCUUUGACCUCGGAUCAGGUAGGGAUACCCGCUGAACUUAAGCAUAUCAAUAAGCGGAGGA
rnacentral:misc_RNA from 1 species